CCGGCUUGAGCACUCGUGGUAAACUAGCAUGUCCAUAUUGCAUGGAGUAUACAAAGGCUUUUAGAUUAUAUCAUGGGGCAAAAAAUUCCUGGUUUGACUCCCAUCAGAUGUUUUUACCGAAUGACCAUGCCUUUAGGAGGAAUAGAAAUUCUUUCAAGAAGGGGGAAGUGGAGAUGAAUGAUGCACCACCAUAUCUGACGGGAGCAGAAGUUUGGAAUAGAAUCAGGGGUUAUCCUAAAAUAACUUAAAAUGGUGCACCAAGAAUUGAUGGAUACGGUCAGUGGCAUAAUUGGACGAAAAGAAGCAUCGUUUGGGAUCUACCCUAUUGGAAGGAUAAUUUGUUAAGGCAUAAUCUUGAUUUCAUGCACAUUGAAAAAACUUUCUUUAACAACAUCUUCAAUACUAUGAUGAAUGUUGCGAGGAAGACAAAAGACAACGAAAAGGUACGAAUGGAUAUAGGUUUGUACUGUAGACGAAAAGAUUUGGAGCUAAAAAGUCAUACCAAUGGAAACAUGUACAAGCCAAAAGCAAAUUAUACACUUUCAGCAGAUCAAACAAAACAAGUCUAUCAUUGGGUAAAAGAUCUUAGGAUGCCCGACAGAUAUUCUUCAAACUUGUCAAGGUGUGUUGAUGUUAAUAGGGGAAAGCUCAUUGAGAUGAAAAGCCAUGACUGCCAUGUGUUUAUGGAAUGCUUACUUCCCAUAGCGUUUAGUUCUUUACCAACUCAUGUUCUCAAUCCCAUUACAGAGAUAAGUCAUUUCUUCAGAGAUUUGUGUUCUACAACAUUGAAAAAGGAUGACCCAGUGAAGAUGGAAGAAAAAAUUCCAAUCAUUUUGUGCAAGAUGGAGAUAAUAUUUCCUCCCUCAUUCUUUGAUUCUAUGGAACAUCUCCCUAUCCAUCUUCCAUAUGAGGCAAGACUUGGUGGACCAGUCCAGUAUAGGUGGAUGUACUUAUUUGAAAGGUUCAUGGGAUAUGCUAAACGUUCGGUUAAGAAUAAAGUCAGGGUUGAAGGAUCUAUUUGCGCAUCAUACUUGCACAGAGAGACUACUCAUUUUUGUUCCCACUAUUUCAAAAACUUCAUGUUAACACCAAAAAGCACUAGAAAUGAAGUAAACACUGAAAUAGAGAGCCUUCUAACAACAUUAUCAGUGUUUCACCAACCUGGUCGUCCUUCUGGGAGGGAAUCAACACAUUGGUUAAGAGAUGAAGAAUUGAGAUCAGCUCAUGUUCAUGUUUUGAUCAAUUGCGAUGAAGUUCAACCUUACCUUGAGUAAGCCUCCAAAAUCCCAAAUAUUUCCAAAAUAUUUCAUUUCAUAUAUUUUUUGUUGUCCUUGAUCCAAUCUCGUCAUACAUGUCGACAACUCAUUCUUACAUACUUAUCAACUAUCUGAGUCCAACAGUUCAGCAUACAUACAUUCCAAUUUCCCAUUAUGGUUCAGGCAAAAAGUUCAUGAUGAGCCUUUAAGUGUGAGGAACCAACAUCUUAGAGAUUUAUCACUUGCUCCAUUAAGGUGCGUAAAGGAAUGNCACACCUUCUUUGCUAAUGGAUACAAAUUUCAUACCCAUACAUGGAGCCAGGGCAAGAGGACAAUAAAUAGUGGGGUUCAUGUUAAAGGGGUAAUAGAAGGAGGUCAAGAUGAUUUCUAUGGUGUGAUUAAACACAUCUAUGAGUUGGAAUACAAUUCAAAAACCACAGAAAAGAAAAUUGUA